CAAUAGCGUAUAUUAAAGUUGUUGCAGUUAAAAGCUCGUAGUUGGAUUUCUGGUCGGAGCGACCGGUCGGCGUCCUUUGUGGCGUGUGCACUGUUGUCGGCUCCGUCCAUCCUAGUGGGAAGGCGCGUGGGCAUUCAUUUGUUCGCGCGUGGCCCCGCUACGUUUACUGUGAAAAAUUAGAGUGUUUAAAGCAGGCGUUCGCUGUGAAUACAUUAGCAUGGAAUAAUGGAAUAGGACUUUGGUCCCAUUUUGUUGGUUUCUAGGGCCGAAGUAAUGAUUAAGAGGGACAAUUGGGGGCAUCCGUAUUUCGUUGUCAGAGGUGGAAUUCUUGGAUUUACGAAAGACGAACAACUGCGAAAGCACUUGCCAAGAGUGUUUUCAUUAAUCAAGAACGAAAGUUAGAGGAUCGAAGACGAUCAGAUACCGU
rnacentral:rRNA from 1 species